rnacentral:rRNA from 1 species
GGGGAAUAUUGCACAAUGGGCGAAAGCCUGAUGCAGCAACGCCGCGUGAGUGAUGAAGGCCUUCGGGUUGUAAAGCUCUGUCUUCUGGGACGAUAAUGACGGUACCAGAGGAGGAAGCCACGGCUAACUACGUGCCAGCAGCCGCGGUAAUACGUAGGUGGCAAGCGUUGUCCGGAUUUACUGGGCGUAAAGGAUGCGUAGGCGGAUACUUAAGUCAGAUGUGAAAAUCCCGGGCUUAACUUGGGAACUGCAUUUGAAACUGGGUAUCUAGAGUGCGGGAGAGGAAAGUGGAAUUCCUAGUGUAGCGGUGAAAUGCGUAGAGACUAGGAAGAACACCAGUGGCGAAGGCGACUUUCUGGACCGUAACUGACGCUGAGGCAUGAAAGCGUGGGGAGCAAACA